rnacentral:rRNA from 1 species
AUACGUAGGGUCCAAGCGUUAUUCGGAUUUACUGGGCGUAAAGCGUGCGUAGGCGGCUAUAUAAGUUAGAUGUUAAAUCUGUGGGCUCAACUCACAGGCUGCAUCUAAUACUGUAUGGCUCGAGAGUGGAAGAGGCAAACGGAAUUCCUAGUGGAGCGGUUAAAUGCGUAGAUAUUAGGAGGAACACCAAUGGCGAAGGCAGUUUGCUGGGCCAUUUCUGACGCUAAGGCACGAAAGCGUGGGGAGCGAUCGGGAUUAGAAACCCCAGUAGUCC